rnacentral:rRNA from 1 species
UACGGAGGGUGCAAGCGUUGCUCGGAAUUAUUGGGCGUAAAGGGUAGGUAGGUGGUCUCAUUUGUCUGGGGUGAAAGCCUUGAGCUUAACUCAAGAAGUGCCCCAGAAACGGGUGAGACUGGAGUCCUGGAGAGGGUCGUGGAAUUCCCGGUGUAGCGGUGAAAUGCGUAGAGAUCGGGAGGAACACCAGAGGCGAAAGCGGCGACCUGGACAGGUACUGACACUCAACUACGAAAGCGUGGGGAGCAAA